rnacentral:misc_RNA from 1 species
GAUGAAGAACGUAGCGAAAUGCGAUAAGUAGUGUGAAUUGCAGAAUUCAGUGAAUCAUCGAAUCUUUGAACGCACAUUGCGCCCCUUGGUAUCCCGAGGGGCAUGCCUGUUCGAGCGUCAUUUCACCACUCAAGCCUGGCUUGGUGUUGGGCGACGUCCCCUUUGGGGACGCGCCUCGAAACGCUCGGCGGCGUGGCACCGGCUUUAAGCGUAGCAGAAUCUUUCGCUUUGGAAGUCGGGGCCCCGUCUGCCGGAAGACCUACUCGCAAGGUUAACCUCGGAUCAGGCAGGGAUACCCGCUGAACUUAAGCAUAUCAAUAAGCGGAGGA